rnacentral:rRNA from 1 species
GACGAACGCUGGCGGCGUGCUUAACACAUGCAAGUCGAGCGGUAAGGCCCUUUCGGGGGUACGACGAGCGGCGAACGGGUGAGUAACACGUGGGUGACCUGCCCUCCAGCUCUGGGAUAAGCCUGGGAAACCGGGUCUAAUACUGGAUAUGACUCCAUGACGCAUGUUGUGGGGUGGAGAGCCUUGUGCGGCUGAGGAUGGGCCCGCGGCCUAUCAGCUUGUUGGUGGGGUGAUGGCCUACCAAGGCGACGACGGGUAGCCGG